rnacentral:rRNA from 1 species
GACGUAGGGCGCGAGCGUUGUCCGGAUUUAUUGGGCGUAAAGAGCUCGUAGGCGGCUUGUCGCGUCGUCCGUGAAAACUUGGGGCUCAACCCCAAGCUUGCGGUCGAUACGGGCAGGCUCGAGUUCGGUAGGGGAGACUGGAAUUCCUGGUGUAGCGGUGAAAUGCGCAGAUAUCAGGAGGAACACCGAUGGCGAAGGCAGGUCUCUGGGCCACUACUGACGCUGAGAAGCGAAAGCAUGGGGAGCGAACAGG